AAUUUUCCGCAAUGGGCGAAAGCCUGACGGAGCAAGACCGCGUGAGGGAGGAAGGCUCUUGGGUUGUAAACCUCUUUUCUCAGGGAAGAAGCUCUGACGGUACCUGAGGAAUCAGCCUCGGCUAACUCCGUGCCAGCAGCCGCGGUAAUACGGAGGAGGCAAGCGUUAUCCGGAAUUAUUGGGCGUAAAGCGUCCGCAGGUGGCGAUUCAAGUCUGCUGUCAAAGCACGGGGCUUAACUCCGUUAAGGCAGUGGAAACUGAAUAGCUAGAGUGCCGUAGGGGUAGAGGGAAUUCCCGGUGUAGCGGUGAAAUGCGUAGAGAUCGGGAAGAACAUCGGUGGCGAAAGCGCUCUACUGGACGGCAACUGACACUCAGGGACGAAAGCUAGGGGAGCGAAUGGGAUUAGAUACCCCAGUAGUC
rnacentral:rRNA from 1 species